rnacentral:rRNA from 1 species
UUGAAUUUGGGCUCGAUUCUGGAGAGGGAGCUUUAAAGAUAGCUACCACAUCUAAGGAAGGCAGCAGGCACGCAAAUUACCCAAUUGUCGAUGACAGAGGUAGUAAUAAUAAAUAACAAUACAGGACUCGUCCGAGGCCUUGUAAUUGGAAUGUUUUUAAGAUAAAGACAUGACGGAGGAACUAUUAGAGGGCAAGUCUGGUGCCAGCAGCCGCGGUAAUUCCAGCUCUAAUAGCGUAUUUUAAUGUUGUUGCGGUUGAAAAGCUCGUAGUUGGAUAUCAUUGAUUGUAUAAGUUCAAUGUUUAUUGUUCUUAUACAGGAGAGGGAAGUCUAGCGGUGAAAAUAAACUUGAAUGUUUAUAUCCACAUAACGCCUGGCUUAAGUUACUUUGAAUAAAUCAAAGUGCUCAAAACAAGCUUUUGCUUGAAUAGAUGUGCAUGGGAUAACGCAAGAAGAUCAAUAUCGAAUCUGUUGGUUGAAUCGAUAUGGGUAAUGAUUAAUAGAGAUUGACGGGGGCAUUCGUAUUUGAAAGCGAGAGGUGAAAUUCUGUGACCUUUCAAAGACAUGCUAAAGCGAAAGCACUUGCCAAGAAUGUUUUCACUAAUCAAGAACGAAAGUUAGAGGCUCGAAGGCGAUUAGAUACCGCCCUAGUUCUAACCAUAAACAAUGCCAACUAACAAUCUUGUGUAGUUUAAGUUGAAACUAACAAGGAAGUUUUCGGAAAACCAAAGUUUUUGGGUUCCGGGGGUAGUAUGGUUGCAAAGCUGAAACUUAAAGUAAUUGACGGAGUGGCACCACCAGGAGUGGAGCCUGUGGCUUAAUUUGACCCAACACGGGGAAGCUCACCAGGGCAAGACACUAAUAGGAUUGACAGAUUGAUAGCUCUUUCUCGAUAAAGUGGGUGGUGGUGCAUGGCCGUUCUUAGUUGGUGGAGUGAUUUGUCUGGUUAAUUCCGAUAACGAACGAGACUCUGACCAAUUACUAGUGAAAUCUUUUGAAAAGAAAGUUACCGCAGUAAUGCAGUUUCAUUCGAGAUUUUACUUCUUAAGGGGACACGCUAUUGUGAAUAGCACGAGGAAGAGCAAUAACAGGUCUGUGAUGCCCUUAGAUGUUCUGGGCUGCACACGCGCUACAAUAAAUUAAUCAACAAGUUCUCCGUUUUGACAGAUGCGGGCAAACUUUUGAAAUUAAUUUAUGGUAGGAAUGGGAACUUGCAAUUAUUUUCCCUGAACUAGGAA